CCUACGGGGGGCUGCAGUGGGGAAUAUUGGACAAUGGGCGAAAGCCUGAUCCAGCCAUGCCGCGUGUGUGAAGAAGGCCUUCGGGUUGUAAAGCACUUUCAGUGGGGAAGAAAGCCUUGGGGCUAAUACCCUCGAGGAAGGACAUCACCCACAGAAGAAGCACCGGCUAACUCCGUGCCAGCAGCCGCGGUAAUACGGAGGGUGCAAGCGUUAAUCGGAAUUACUGGGCGUAAAGCGCGCGUAGGCGGUCUGUUAAGCCGGUUGUGAAAGCCCCGGGCUCAACCUGGGAACGGCAUCCGGAACUGGCAGGCUAGAGUGCAGGAGAGGAAGGCAGAAUUCCCGGUGUAGCGGUGAAAUGCGUAGAGAUCGGGAGGAACACCAGUGGCGAAGGCGGCCUUCUGGACUGGCACUGACGCUGAGGUGCGAAAGCGUGGGUAGCAAACAGGAUUAGAUACCCGAGUAGUC
rnacentral:rRNA from 1 species